CAGCAGCCGCGGGAAAACGAAGGGUGCAAGCGUUACUCGGAAUUACUGGGCGUAAAGCGUGCGUAGGUGGUGGUUUAAGUCCGUUGUGAAAGCCCUGGGCUCAACCUGGGAAUUGCAGUGGAUACUGGGUCACUAGAGUGUGGUAGAGGAUAGUGGAAUUUCCGGUGUAGCAGUGAAAUGCGUAGAGAUUGGAAGGAACAUCUGUGGCGAAGGCGACUAUCUGGGCCAACACUGACACUGAGGCACGAAAGCGUGGGGAGCAAACAGGAUUAGAUACCCCUGUAGUCCCUGUCUCUUAUAC
rnacentral:rRNA from 1 species